GCGAGGCUGGUGUAAUGGUUAUCAUGGCAGCCUUCCAAGUUGUCGAUCCGGGUUCGAUUCCCGGGCCUCGCA
rfam:Opisthorchis viverrini opera_v5_424.18, whole genome shotgun sequence.